GUAUGUCUACAAGCAGUCGGAGCGAAAGCGACGGCGUGCCUAUUGAAGAAUGAACCAACGAGUUAUCUGCACUAGCGAGGUUAAGUGGAAGACACGGAGCCGUAGCGAAAGCGAGUCUGAAAAGGGCGACGAGUUAGUGUAGGUAGACCCGAAACCGCAGUGAUCUACCCAUGUCCAGGUUGAAGCGCAGGUAAAAAUGCGUGGAGGACCGAACCGGUGAGCGUUGAAAAGCUUUCGGAUGAGAUGUGGGUAGGGGUGAAAUUCCAAUCGAACGCGGAGAUAGCUGGUUCUCCCCGAAAUAGCUUUAGGGCUAGCCUCAGGUAGUAAGUAUAGGCGGUAGAGCACUGAUCGGGCUAGGGGCCAUAAAGGUUACCGAACCCUGUCAAACUCCGAAUGGAUAUACUGCAGAGCCUGGGAGUCAGACUACGAGUGAUAAGAUCCGUGGUCAAAAGGGAAACAGCCCAGACCACCGGCUAAGGUCCCAAAUGCCGUACUAAGUGGAAAAGGAUGUGGGGAUUCAUAAACAACCAGGAUGUUGGCUCAGAAGCAGCCACCAUUUAAAGAGUGCGUAAUAGCUCACUGGUCGAGAGUCCCUGCGCCGAAAAUUUCCGGGGCUAAAGUACGGAACCGAAGCCGUGGCUGUGCAUGUAAGUGCACGGGGUAGGGGAGCGUUGCCACAGGGGUGAAGCUGGUCUGGAAGGACUGGUGGACUUGUGGGAAGUGAGAAUGUUGGUAUGAGUAGCGAAAAGAAAGGUGAGAAUCCUUUCCACCGAAAGCAUAAGGAUUCCUGAGCAACGAUCGUCGUCUCAGGGUAAGUCGGGACCUAAUCCGAGGCAAAGAGCGUAGGAGAUGGACAACAGGUUGAUAUUCCUGUACCGGCAGCAAUUGUUUGAGCGAAGGAGUGACACAGAAGGGCAGGCAGGCGCGAGACUGGAUUGUCGCGUGCAAGCGUGUAGGGUAGUGUACAGGCAAAUCCGUACACUGAGGGCCUGAGGCGUUACGCGGAGCGAGCAGAGAUGCGAGCGAAGCUGCUGAUCCCACACUGUCGAGAAAAGCUUCUAGUGAGAGAGCUGCCGCCCGUACCGUAAACCGACACAGGUAUGCGGGGAGAGAAUCCUAAGGUGCGCGGGAGAACCCUCGUUAAGGAACUCGGCAAAAUGUACCCGUAACUUCGGGAUAAGGGUAGCCGUCUUGGUGAAGGAGCUUGCCUCUGGAGCUAAAGGCGGUCGCAGAGAAGAGGCCCAAGCGACUGUUUACCACAAACACAGGUGCCUGCUAAAGCGAAAGCUGACGUAUAGGUGCUGACACCUGCCCAGUGCUGGAAGGUUAAGGAAGGAUGUUCGGGCAACCAAAGCAUUCGACCGAAGCCCCAGUGAACGGCGGCCGUAACUAUAACGGUCCUAAGGUAGCGAAAUUCCUUGUCGGGUAAGUUCCGACCCGCACGAAAGGUGUAACGAUUUGGGCACUGUCUCAACGAGGGACCCGGUGAAAUUGAAAUACCUGUGAAGAUGCAGGUUACCCGCGACUGGACAGAAAGACCCCAUGGAGCUUUACUGUAACCUGACAUUGGGUUUUGUUGUAUUACGUACAGGAUAGGUGGGAGGCUUGGAAGGCUGGACGCUAGUCUGGCUGGAGCCGGCGUUGGGAUACCACCCUUGAUACAACGGAAUUCUAACCGAGAGAGUAACGAAAUCCGGGACAGUGUCAGGCGGGCAGUUUGACUGGGGCGGUCGCCUCCGAAAGAGUAAC
rnacentral:rRNA from 1 species